CUACGGGGAUGACUUUAAGAAUUGAGCUCUCUCUUACUGAUGGGUCAGUGGAGAAAACAAAAAUUCUGAGUAGC
rnacentral:snoRNA from 1 species